AGUUAAACAGUACGUGAAAUUGUUGAAAGGGAAACGAUUGAAGUCAGUCAUACUAACGGGAAAUCAACCUCUUGAGUUUGGUCUCGUGGGUUUCGAAGAGUUUAAAAGCCUUCGGAUUUUCGAGAUUGGGCUCUUCUGGUGUACUUUCUCGUACGGUUAGUCAACAUCGGUUUUGAAUGUCAUAAAAUGACUGGAGGAAUGUGGCUUCGAUCUUGUAUUGAAGUGUUAUAGCCUUCGGUAGAUGUGAUGAUCGAGAUUGAGGAUUGCAACGGAUACCCUUCGGGGCUACCUGUCUGGUCUCUGAUCGUUGCUCUGGUGCCGAAAGCUUGCUUACGGUUAUCAAAGUCGAUGGUCAAUAGGUUAGAACGGGUUAAAUUCGUUAAGGAUGUUGACGUAAUGGCUUUAAA
rnacentral:misc_RNA from 1 species